rnacentral:rRNA from 1 species
GAAACCUGGUGAUCUAAACCUGUCCAGGAUGAAGCUGUGGUAAGACACAGUGGAGGUCCUAACCCACCGCCGUUGAAAAGUUGGGGGAUGAGGUAGGUUUAGGGGUGAAAAGCCAAUCGAACCAGGAGAUAGCUCGUUCUCUCCGAAAUGCAUCUAGGUGCAGCCUUGAGUGUUCAAUUAUGGGGGUAGAGCACUGAAUGAUCUAGGGGGCAUAUUGCUUACUGAAAUCAAUCAAACUCCGAAUACCAUAAUUUAUAGCUCAGGAGUGAGACUAUGGGAGUUAACUUCCAUUGUCAAAAGGGAAACAACCCAGACCACCAGCUAAGGUCCCUAAUUAUAACUAAGUGGGAAAGGAGGUGGAGAUUCACAAACAACUAGGAGGUUGGCUUAGAAGCAGCCAUACCUUUAAAGAGUGCGUAAUAGCUCACUAGUCGAGAGUCUCUGCGCCGACAAUGUAACGGGGCUAAGUUAUAAACCGAAGCUGUGGAAUCCUUUUGGAUUGGUAGGAGAGCGUUCUGUAGGCCGUUGAAGAAGAAGGGUAACCGACUUUGGAGGUAUCAGAAGUGAGAAUGCAGGAAUAAGUAGCGAGAAAGGGGGCGAGAAUCCCCCUCGCCGGAAGACCAAGGUUUUCAGGGUAAAGCUUGUCUUCCCUGAGUAAGCCGGGACCUAAGCCCAGGCUAUAAUGCGUAGGCGAAUGGAAAACAGAUUAAUAUUUCUGUGCCAGUCAUUUAUUGUGAUGGAGGGACGCAGAAGGGUAUGCGCGCGGACGAUCGGUUGUGUCCGUAGAAGUAUGUAGGAUGACUUAGUAGGUAAAUCCAUUAAGUUAUAUCUGAGGUAUGAUAUACAGUCGUAAGAUGAAUGCGCAAAUCCCACGCUGCCAAGAAAAGCUUCUAACGUUAAUAUAUGACUGCCCGUACUGUAAACCGACACAGGUGGUCAGGAUGAGAAAUCUAAGGCGGACAGGCUAACUCUCGUUAAGGAACUCUGCAAAAUAACCUCGUAACUUCGGGAGAAGAGGAGCCCUUGAGUGUUAGUAUCCAUGCGAUACAAAGCGCUCGAGGGUCGCAGUGAAGAGGCUCAAGCAACUGUUUAACAAAAACACAGGUCUAUGCUAAGCUGGAAGGCGAUGUAUAUGGGCUGACACCUGCCCAGUGCUGGAAGGUUAAGAGGAGGAGUGAGAGCUCCGAAUUGAAGCCCCAGUGAACGGCGGCCGUAACUAUAACGGUCCUAAGGUAGCGAAAUUCCUUGUCGGGUAAGUUCCGACCUGCACGAAUGGUGUAAUGAUUUGAGCGCUGUCUUGACGGGAGGCCUGGUGAAAUUGUAUUACCGGUGAAGAUACCGGUUACCUACAGUAGGACGGAAAGACCCCAUGGAGCUUUACUGUAGCUUGGUAUUGGGUUUUGGCAUUGCAUGUAUAGGAUAGUUGGGAGACUAUGAUGAUAUGGCGCUAGCUGUAUCGGAGUCAUCGGUGGAAUACCAACCAUUCAAUGCUGAAAUUCUAAUCUGUGGUUUGUAGCCACGGAGACAGUGCUAGGUGGGCAGUUUGACUGGGGCGGUCGCCUCCGAAAGAGUAACGGAGGCGUUCAAAGGUUCUCUCAGGUUGGAUGGAAAUCAACCAUAGAGUGCAAUGGCAUAAGAGAGCUUGACUGCAAGACUGACGGGUCGAGCAGAUGCGAAAGCAGGACAUAGUGAUCCGGCGAUUCCGAAUGGAAGGGUCGUCGCUCAACGGAUAAAAGCUACCCUGGGGAUAACAGGCUGAUCCUACCCGAGAGUCCAUAUCGACGGUAGGGUUUGGCACCUCGAUGUCGGCUCAUCGCAUCCUGGGGCUGGAGAAGGUCCCAAGGGUUGGGCUGUUCGCCCAUUAAAGCGGUACGUGAGCUGGGUUCAGAACGUCGUGAGACAGUUCGGUCCCUAUCCACUGUAGGCGUUAGAAUAUUGAGAAGACCUGUCCUUAGUACGAGAGGACCGGGAUGGACAAACCUCUGAUGUACCAGUUGUCACGCCAGUGGCACAGCUGGGUAGUCACGUUUGGAAUAGAUAACCGCUGAAAGCAUCUAAGCGGGAAACUAACUUCAAGAUAAGUAUUCUUUAAGAUACCUUCGAGCCUAGGAGGUUGAUAGGUUGGGGGUGUAAGUACAGCAAUGUAUUUAGCUGACCAAUACUAAUUAUCGAAGUUUUAAUCUA